GGUGAUAAUUUCCCCGCCAAUGAACCAGAUAGACAUCCUGCGUGGCCCACACACGUACCCACCCAUGCGCCCAAACCCAUUCAGAGCGCUCUGGACUAGUGUCCCGACUAGAAGAUACCCGGCACUCAGGUCGCCAGAUCUUUAUUAAAAUUGUGGAUAGGACUUGAUCCACGGCUGUUGAUCCUUAUUUGCAGCCUAUCCUUGCAGCCUACACUUACAGGGAGUCGAGGACGAAGACGUCCCUGGACAGGGUCCAGACAAAGUUCGGAUCUGCGGAAGGAAUAGGGGGGGUCGAAAGCGAUUUACGGCAGCGCAUCAAUUCAACGGACAGAAGAAGGACGCGGGGACUGGCAAAUGAGUUCCAUUUAUAUCAUUGGUCAUUACGGAAAUUAUGCGACGCCGAAGCAGCUCCAGCCCCCAGAC
rnacentral:sRNA from 1 species